rnacentral:rRNA from 1 species
GUCUUUUUGUUUUAAAUUUAAAGUCUGGUCUGCCCUCUGAUUUAUUUGAAUGGCCGCGGUAUUUUGACCGUGCUAAGGUAGCAUAAUCAUUAGUUUUUUAAUUGAAAGCUGGAAUGAAGGGUUGAAUGAAAAAAUAACUGUCUCUAUUUAAUUAUUAUAAAAAUUUAUUUUUAAGUUCAAAAGCUUAAAUUUUAUUAAAAGACGAGAAGACCCUAUAGAGUUUUAUAAUUUUUAGUAUAAAAGAUUUAGAAUUUAUUUUUUUAUAUUUAGAAAUUAUUUAAUUGGGGUGAUUAAAAAAUUUAAUUAACUUUUUUUAUAUAAUUUAUAUUUAUUAAUAGAUAUUUGAUCCAAAGAUUUUGAUUAAAAGAUUAAAUUACCUUAGGGAUAACAGCGUAAUUUUAUUAGAGAGUUCUAAUUGAUAAUAAAGAUUGCGA